AUUGAACGCUGGCGGCAGGCCUAACACAUGCAAGUCGAACGAGUGGCGGACGGGUGAGUAAUGUCUGGGAAACUGCCCGAUGGAGGGGGAUAACUACUGGAAACGGUAGCUAAUACCGCAUACCAUCGGAUGUGCCCAGAUGGGAUUAGCGAGUAGGUGGGGUAACGGCUCACCUAGGCGACGAUCCCUAGCUGGUCUGCUAGGAUGACCAGCCACACUGUGACUGAGACACGGUCCAGACUCCUACGGAAGGCAGCAGUGGGGAAUAUUGCAAAAUGGGCGCAAGCCUGAUGCAGCCAUGCCGCGUGUAUGAAGAAGGCCUUCGGGUUGUAAAGUACGUUCAGCGAGGAGGCGUUACUCGCAGAAGAAGCACCGGCUAACUCCGUGCCAGCAGCCGCGGUAAUAC
rnacentral:rRNA from 1 species